rnacentral:rRNA from 1 species
UUAAUUGAAGAGUUUGAACAUGGCUCAGAUUGAACGCCGGCGGCAGGCCUAACACAUGCAAGUCGAGCGGCAGCGACUUAACUGAACCUUCGGGGAACGUUAAGGGCGGCGAGCGGCGGACGGGUGAGUAAUGCCUGGGAAUAUGCCCUGAUGUGGGGGAUAACU